GGAGUAUCCAAAGCGAUCGCUGUCCUCUAGAGGGAGGGAGGAAAGUCCGGACUCCACAGGGCAGGGCGCUGGAGAAAUUCCAGUGGGUGCGAACCCAAGGAAAGUGCCACAGAAACAUACCGCCCAGGGCUUCGACUGGGCAAAGGGCUGCGGCUGUUUGCCUUAGUUGUAAGCCUUGGGUAAGGGUGAAAAGGUGAGGUAAGAGCUCACCAGCUGCAGGGCGACCUGCAGGCUAGGCAAACCCCGCCCGGAGCAAGACCGAAUAGGAGGGGAUGAGGUGGCCCGCUGACCCUCGGGUACGGUCGCACGAGGCAUGGCGCAAGUCAUGUCCCAGAUAAAUGAUCGCUAUUUACAGAAUCCGGCUUAUUGGAUGCUCCUUUU
rfam:Thermovirga lienii DSM 17291, complete genome.